AAAUUAUCAGGUAGUAAAUAACAUAAAUUUCACGUGGUUCCUUAGGCUGAGAUGUAUAUAUUUAUGUUCAAAUACGGUUAGACUUCGCGGUUUGGGCAAAGUAUUGAUUUGAGUGACUUCGAUUGUUUAAUAUCAGUAGAAUUGUCGGUAUGACAGACUAAUUUAGGUCAAUAGGUAGUAGCAGCAAUACAGAUCAAAGGGAGG